CCCAUUUCUACAACUUUGUCUUUGAGAUCAGAAUCACGGAAUUCCUUAUUGAAAUUACUAGCCACAUGACGAAUACAAUAAACUGAUUGUGCACUAGACCAUCCGCUCAACUCACUUCGGAGUGCAGCUAAUAAACCUGUCCCCCUAUCUGAUAUGAUACACAGGUUUUCUUGAGGGGUAACAUACGUCUUAAGAUUGUAAAAAAACCACUCCCAAGCUUCUUUCGUCUCU
rnacentral:lncRNA from 1 species